rnacentral:rRNA from 1 species
CUUUACUGUAGCUUGGAAUUGAAUUUGAGUUUAUUCUGCGCAGCAUAGGUGGGAGGCUAAGAUUAUAUACUUGAGGGUAUAUAUGAGCCAAUAGUGAGAUACCACUCUGAUUAAACUAGAAUUCUAAUCUUGAAGCCGUUAACCGGCCAAGAAACAGUUCCAGGUGGGCAGUUUGACUGGGGCGGUCGCCUCCUAAAAGGUAACGGAGGCGUGCAAAGGUUCCUUCAGGCUGGUCGGAAAUCAGUCGUAGAGUGUAAAGGCAUAAAGGAGCUUGACUGCGAGACCUACAAGUCGAGCAGAGACGAAAGUCGGCCUUAGUGAUCCGACAGUACUGAGUGGAAAGGCUGUCGCUCAACGGAUAAAAGUUA